rnacentral:rRNA from 1 species
UUGAACGCUGGCGGCAUGCCUUACACAUGCAAGUCGAACGGCAGCACGGACUUCGGUCUGGUGGCGAGUGGCGAACGGGUGAGUAAUACAUCGGAACGUGCCUAGUAGUGGGGGAUAACUACUCGAAAGAGUGGCUAAUACCGCAUGAGAUCUACGGAUGAAAGCAGGGGAUCGCAAGACCUUGUGCUACUAGAGCGGCCGAUGGCAGAUUAGGUAGUUGGUGGGAUAAAAGCUUACCAAGCCAACGAUCUGUAGCUGGUCUGAGAGGACGAUCAGCCACACUGGGACUGAGACACGGCCCAGACUCCUACGGGAGGCAGCAGUGGGGAAUUUUGGACAAUGGGCGAAAGCCUGAUCCAGCAAUGCCGCGUGCAGGAUGAAGGCCUUCGGGUUGUAAACUGCUUUUGUACGGAACGAAAAGCUUCGGGUUAAUACCCUGGAGUCAUGACGGUACCGUAAGAAUAAGCACCGGCUAACUACGUGCCAGCAGCCGCGGUAAUACGUAGGGUGCAAGCGUUAAUCGGAAUUACUGGGCGUAAAGCGUGCGCAGGCGGUUUUGUAAGACAGAGGUGAAAUCCCCGGGCUCAACCUGGGAACUGCCUUUGUGACUGCAAGGCUAGAGUACGGCAGAGGGGGAUGGAAUUCCGCGUGUAGCAGUGAAAUGCGUAGAUAUGCGGAGGAACACCGAUGGCGAAGGCAAUCCCCUGGGCCUGUACUGACGCUCAUGCACGAAAGCGUGGGGAGCAAACAGGAUUAGAUACCCUGGUAGUCCACGCCCUAAACGAUGUCAACUGGGUGUUGGGUGUUGAUUGACUCAGUAAGGGAGCUAACGCGUGAGGUUGACCGCCUGGGGAGUACGGCCGCAAGGCUAAAACUCAAAGAAAUUGACGGGGGCCCGCACAAGCGGCGGAGCAUGCGGAUUAAUUCGAUGCAACGCGAAGAACCUUACCUGGGCUUGACAUGUUCCCGACGGUCGUAGAGAUACGGCUUCCCUUCGGGGCGGGUUCACAGGUGGUGCAUGGUCGUCGUCAGCUCGUGUCGUGAGAUGUUGGGUUAAGUCCCGCAACGAGCGCAACCCUUGCCAUUAGUUGCUACGAAAGGGCACUCUAAUGGGACUGCCGGUGACAAACCGGAGGAAGGUGGGGAUGACGUCAAGUCCUCAUGGCCCUUAUAGGUGGGGCUACACACGUCAUACAAUGGCUGGUACAAAGGGUUGCCAACCCGCGAGGGGGAGCUAAUCCCAUAAAGCCAGUCGUAGUCCGGAUCGCAGUCUGCAACUCGACUGCGUGAAGUCGGAAUCGCUAGUAAUCGUGGAUCAGCAUGUCACGGUGAAUACGUUCCCGGGUCUUGUACACACCGCCCGUCACACCAUGGGAGCGGGUCUCGCCAGAAGUAGGUAGCCUAACCGCAAGGAGGGCGCUUACCACGGCGGGGUUCGUGACUGGGGUG